GACGAACGCUGGCGGCGUGCCUAACACAUGCAAGUCGAGCGGGUUGAGGCGAGAGGUAACUCGAGGCUUCUACCUAGCGGCGGACGGGUGAGUAACGCGUGGGCAACCUGCCUCAAGGUUUGGGAUAACAGCCCGAAAGGGCUGCUAAUACCGGAUAAUGCCUAUGGCCUCGCAUGGGGCUAUGAGCAAAGGGGAACCCGCGUUGAGAUGGGCCCGCGUCCCAUCAGCUAGUUGGUGAGGUAACGGCCACCAAGGCGACGAUGGGUAGCCGGCCGUGAGAGGGUGAACGGCCACACUGGGGACUGAGACACGGCCCAGACUCCUACGGGAGGCAGCAGUUGGGAAUCUUCGGCAAGUGGGCGCAAGCCUGACCGAGCAACGCCGCGUGAGUGAUGAAGGUUUUGGAUUUGAAAGCUCUGUCUUCCGGGAGAUAAGGGACGGUACGGAGGAGGACGCCGACGGUACUAACUACGUCGACCGAGCGACGGCCGGUACGGUAACUCACUUACUCGUA
rnacentral:rRNA from 1 species